rnacentral:snRNA from 1 species
GUACCUUACGGUACACAUACUAAAAUUGGAACGAUACAGAGAAGAUUAGCAUGGCCCCUGCGCAAGGAUGACACGCAAAAUCGUGAAGCGUUCCACAUUUUU